rnacentral:rRNA from 1 species
AGUGAACGCUGGCGGUAGGCCUAACACAUGCAAGUCGAACGGCAGCACAGUAAGAGCUUGCUCUUACGGGUGGCGAGUGGCGGACGGGUGAGGAAUACAUCGGAAUCUACUUUUUCGUGGGGGAUAACGUAGGGAAACUUACGCUAAUACCGCAUACGACCUACGGGUGAAAGCAGUGGAUCUUCGGACCUUUCGCGAUUGAAUGAGCCGAUGUCGGAUUAGCUAGUUGGCGGGGUAAAGGCCCACCAAGGCGACGAUCCGUAGCUGGUCUGAGAGGAUGAUCAGCCACACUGGAACUGAGACACGGUCCAGACUCCUACGGGAGGCAGCAGUGGGGAAUAUUGGACAAUGGGCGCAAGCCUGAUCCAGCCAUACCGCGUGGGUGAAGAAGGCCUUCGGGUUGUAAAGCCCUUUUGUUGGGAAAGAAAAGCAGCAGGUUAAUACCCCGCCGUUCUGACGGUACCCAAAGAAUAAGCACCGGCUAACUUCGUG